GCCUGAAUAGCUCAGUAGGUAGAGCAACUGGCUGUUAACCAGUAGGUCGUAGGUUCGAAUCCUACUUCAGGCGCCA
rnacentral:tRNA from 1 species